CCGAGUUCUCGCAACUCCCAACCCCUGCGCACCGUACCCCCCUCUGUUCUCGCCCCCCGGGCGGGCGGCCCGGCGCCAUCGCCAGCGGCCCCCGCCAGGGGCGGCGAGCCCCCUGAACCUCUCUCCAGCACCGCAGCCCGUCUGAGCACACACAAAAUGAAUCA
rnacentral:misc_RNA from 1 species